rnacentral:rRNA from 1 species
GACGAACGCUGGCGGCGUGCUUAACACAUGCAAGUCGAACGGAAAGGCCCUGCUUUUGUGGGGUGCUCGAGUGGCGAACGGGUGAGUAACACGUGAGUAACCUGCCCUUGACUUUGGGAUAACUUCAGGAAACUGGAGCUAAUACCGGAUAGGAGCUCCUGCUGCAUGGUGGGGGUUGGAAAGUUUCGGCGGUUGGGGAUGGACUCGCGGCUUAUCAGCUUGUUGGUGGGGUAGUGGCUUACCAAGGCUUUGACGGGUAGCCGGCCUUAGAGGGUGACCGGCCACAUUGGGACUGAGAUACGGCCCAGACUCCUACGGGAGGCAGCAGUGGGGAAUAUUGCACAAUGGGCGGAAGCCUGAUGCAGCAACGCCGCGUGCGGGAUGACGGCCUUCGGGUUGUAAACCGCUUUCGCCUGUGACGAAGCGUGAGUGACGGUAAUGGGUAAAGAAGCACCGGCUAACUACGUG